CCUACGGGUGGCAGCAGUGAGGAAUAUUGGUCAAUGGGCACGAGCCUGAACCAGCCAAGUAGCGUGAAGGAUGACGGCCCUACGGGUUGUAAACUUCUUUUAUAAAGGAAUAAAGUGAGGCACGUGUGCCUUUUUGUAUGUAUGUUAUGAAUAGGGAUAGGCUAACUCCGUGCCAGCAGCCGCGGUAAGACGGAGGAUCCGAGCGUUCUCCGGAUUUAUUGGGUUUACAGGGAGCGUAGAGGGGUUGUUAAGUCAGUUGUGAACGUUUGCGGCUCAACCGUAAAAUUGCAAUUGAUACUGGCAGCCUUGAGUACAGUUGAGGUAGGCCGAAUUCGUGGUGUAGCGGUGCAAUUCUUAGAUAUCACGAAGAACUCCGAUUGCGACGGCAGCCUACUAAACUGCCACUGACAUUGAUGCUCGAAAGUGUGGGUAUCAAACAGGAUUAGAUACCCUUGUAGUC
rnacentral:rRNA from 1 species